UGGCGAUGAGGAGUUAAUUACUUGUUGAAUGUCGGUGAUAGUUUUAUACGCUAUUCUGAGCCAGCA